UACGGGGGGAGCAAGCGUUGUUCGGAUUUACUGGGCGUAAAGGGCGGGUAGGCGGCCACCGCAAGUCAGUUGUGAAAUCUCUGGGCUUAACCCAGAAAGGUCAACUGAUACUGCGGGGCUAGAGUGCAGAAGGGGCAACUGGAAUUCUCGGUGUAGCGGUGAAAUGCGUAGAUAUCGAGAGGAACACCUGCGGCGAAGGCGGUUCUCUGGGCCUUACCUGACGCUGAGGAGCGAAAGCGUGGGGAGCAAACAGG
rnacentral:rRNA from 1 species